GGCGCGGUGGCGGAAUUAGGCAGACGCAGAGGACUUAAAAUCCUCCGGGUUCACACCCUUGUGGGUUCGAGUCCCACCCGCGCUA
rnacentral:tRNA from 3 species